GACGAACGCUGGCGGCGUGCUUAACACAUGCAAGUCGAACGGAAAGGCCCUGCUUUUGUGGGGUGCUCGAGUGGCGAACGGGUGAGUAACACGUGAGUAACCUGCCCUUGACUUUGGGAUAACUUCAGGAAACUGGGGCUAAUACCGGAUAGGAGCUCCUGCUGCAUGGUGGGGGUUGGAAGUUUCGGCGGUUGGGGAUGGACUCGCGGCUUAUCAGCUUGUUGGUGGGGUAGUGGCUUACCAAGGCUUUGACGGGUAGCCGGCCUGAGAGGGUGACCGGCCACAUUGGGACUGAGAUACGGCCCAGACUCCUACGGGAGGCAGCGGUGGGGAAUAUUGCAAAAUGGGCGGAAGCCUGAUGCAGCAACGCCGCGUGCGGGAUGACGGCCUUCGGGUUGUAAACCGCUUUCGCCUGUGACGAAGCGUGAGUGACGGUAAUGGGUAAAGAAGCACCGGCUAACUACGUG
rnacentral:rRNA from 1 species